AUACGGAGGAUCCGAGCGUUAUCCGGAUUUAUUGGGUUUAAAGGGUGCGCAGGCGGCCAUUUAAGUCAGCGGUUAAAUCGUGGGGCUCAACCCCAUUCUGCCGUUGAUACUGGGUGGCUUGAUUGCGGUCGAGGUUGGCGGAAUUCGUUGUGUAGCGGUGAAAUGCAUAGAUAUGACGAAGAACACCGAUUGCGUAGGCAUCUGACCAGAACGCAAAUGACGCUCAUGCACGAAAGUGCGGGGAUCGAACAGGAUUAGAUACCCUGGUAGUCCGCACAGUAAACGAUGAAUACUUGUUUUCGGCGAUAUAAUGUCGGAGGCAAAGCUAAAGCGAUAAGUAUUCCACCUGGGGAGUACGCCGGCAACGGGGAAACUCAAAGGAAUUGACGGGG
rnacentral:rRNA from 1 species